UGGGGAAUUGUUCGCAAUGGGCGCAAGCCUGACGACGCAACGCCGCGUGGAGGAUGAAGACCUUCGGGUCGUAAACUCCUUUCGAUCGAGACGAAUAACCCUUGGGCUAAUCACCAGGGGAAUGACGGUACCGAGAGAAGAAGCACCGGCUAACUACGUGCCAGCAGCCGCGGUAAUACGUAGGGUGCAAGCGUUAAUCGGAGUUACUGGGCGUAAAGGGCACGUAGGUGGUUAUAUAAGUCAGUUGUGAAAUCCCCGGGCUUAACCUGGGAACUGCAGCUGAUACUGUGUGACUAGAGUCGAAGAGAGGGAAGCGGAAUUUCCGGUGUAGCGGUGAAAUGCGUAGAUAUCGGAAGGAACAUCUGUGGCGAAGGCGGCUUCCUGGAUUCAGACUGACACUGAGGUGCGAAAGCGUGGGUAGCGAACAGGAUUAGAUACCCUCGUAGUCCCUGAGCGGGCUGGCAAGGCG
rnacentral:rRNA from 1 species